rnacentral:rRNA from 1 species
GACGAACGCUGGCGGCGCGCCUAACACAUGCCGGUCGAACGGAGUCAAGAGGAGCUUGCUUUUCUUGACUUAGUGGCGAACGGGUGAGUAACGCGUGAGUAACCUGCCCUGGAGUGGGGGACAACAGUUGGAAACGACUGCUAAUACCGCAUAAGCUCACGGAUCCGCAUGGAUCUGCGGGAAAAGGAUUUAUUCGCUUCAGGCUGGACUCGCGUCCAAUUAGCUAGUUGGUGAGGUAACGGCCCACCAAGGCGACGUUUGGUAGCCGGACUGGGAGGGUGAACGGCCACAUUGGGGCUGAGACACGGCCCAGACUGCUACGGGGGGCAGCAGUAGGGGGUAUUGCGCAAUGGGGGAAACCCUGAUGCAGCGACGCCGCGUGGAGGAAGAAGGGUUUCGGAUUGUAAACUCCUGUCGUUAGGGACGAUAAUGACGGUACCUAACAAGAAAGCACCGGCUAACUACGUG